rnacentral:rRNA from 1 species
GACUAACGCUGGCGGCGUGCCUAAUACAUGCAAGUCGAACGGUCAUGCGUUUGUAGCAAUAUGAAUGUAUGAUAGUGGCGAACGGGUGAGUAACACGUGGAUAAUCUACCUCUAAGUGGGGGAUAACUCCGGGAAACUGGGGAUAAUACCGCAUAAUAUUUCGACAGGGCAUCUUGUUGAAAUCAAAGGAGCAAUUCGCUAAGAGAUGAAUCCGCGUCCCAUCAGCUAGUUGGUAGGGUAAUGGCCUACCAAGGCGACGACGGGUAGCCGGCUUGAGAGAGCGAUCGGCCACAAGGGGACUGAGACACGGCCCCUACUCCUACGGGAGGCAGCAGUAGGGAAUUUUGGUCAAUGGGGGAAACCCUGAACCAGCGACGCCGCGUGGGUGAUGAAAUCCUUCGGGAUGUAAAACCCUUUUCAUUGGGACGAAAUAAAAAUGACGGUACCAGUGGAAUAAGCCUCGGCUAACUCCGUGCCAGCAGCCGCGGUAAGACGGGGGAGGCAAGCGUUGUCCGGAAUCACUGGGUGUAAAGGGCGUGUAGGCGGGCUUUUAAGUCGAUUGUGAAAUUUCUCGGCUCACCGGGAAACUGCAGUCGAUGCU